rnacentral:rRNA from 1 species
UACGUAGGGUGCAAGCGUUGUCCGGAAUUAUUGGGCGUAAAGAGCUCGUAGGUGGCUUGUUGCGUCUGCCGUGAAAGCCCGUGGCUUAACUACGGGUCUGCGGUGGAUACGGGCAGGCUAGAGGCUGGUAGGGGCAAGCGGAAUUCCUGGUGUAGCGGUGAAAUGCGCAGAUAUCAGGAGGAACACCGGUGGCGAAGGCGGCUUGCUAGGCUGACACUGACGCUGAGUGCGCGAAAGCCAGGGGAGCAAACGGG